ensembl:lncRNA
AUGGCUGGGGCACCGCCGCCUGGAGGAGGCCGAGGCGCCUACAGCGCCCGCCGGCCCGGCCCCGCCGCCCGCCGGCGCCUGCUGCAGAAGCACUGGGGCGCACGCCUCGGCGUACUGGUUGUAAGCGUAGCUGCACUCGGGCUCCCCCUGACACUGCAGCACCGCCUGCCAGCAGAUCAGCCGCCGGCCCUGAACCAGCGAGCCCCGCGGCGGCCACACGGCACCCAGCGCCGCCGCCAGCCACAGCCAGGCGGCCGGCCGCGGCCAGCGGUGCCCGCCGCCGCCUCCGGGGCGAGCGGACGAGCGGGCCACCAUAGCGGGCGGCGGCUGCAACCGCAGGCGAGAGAGGCAGAGGCGCUGGUUGGCGACGACGAUGAUGAGGAGGAGGAGGCGCAGGAGAAGGAGCUGCUGCCUGUGGAAAAGUUUGCAAAACUCCCGCCGGCCGUGUGCAUGAGGUCUCCUCGCAUCAAUCCAUUCGCGCCGGCUCCGGGGCCCUCCAGUCCCCGGAAGCUGAAACUGGCGGGGCCGCGGUACGAAGCAGGCGGCCGGGGCCGCUCUGUGCCCUUCACCCGCUGCUCCCGGCUCGGCUCGGCGAGGGCGCCCGGAGAGGUGCGGGGAAUCAGUGCAAACUGGGGCUCGGAGGAGAGCGGCUCCGAAGUGCAGUCGGGGACUUGCAGGCUGCGCCGAGAGAGCUCAUGUGCUACCUUAAUUCCAGAGAAACAUCGUCUCCAACCACAAGGGGCAUGAGUAUCUGCUGCCUGUCAAAACUGGCGCUUUUUUUCAUCCUGAGACUAUCAACUCCAUCUGUCACAAAAAUUAAGACUAAAUCUAUUUUCCAGAGCUCGGAGAUCUUGGGAUCCUGUGCAAUGUGGACUGAUGUCUGGAAGUGCGUGGAAUGGCCAUGUGGUGUGGCUGGGAGUCAGUAUGAUUGAUGUUUUGAGAAGCAUUCACAAGGGUUUCUCCCAUUGUCAUCAGUUUUACAAGCUGCUAGUGUUUCUCCUUCAGUACAGUUUUGCCUCUUCUGGUGCAAAAAUCGUGUUUGCUUCUGUUUUUAAAUCCAUGAAAACUGCAUUCAGAAACCCUGUGAUCAUCUACCCCACUUAGAGCUGUUUCUUUCAGUUCCUGUUUAAUAAUGUUAUUAAAAAUGCUAGAUGCAAUUCAGGCAGGGUGCAGUAAACAAACAUUGCCAUCUACACCAGGCUCAUUCAUGCAUUGCUUUUCAGCCCUAUUCCCUGACAAUUACACUGUUGCUGGUGGAAGUUGGCUAGUUUGGGAUGAGUAAGUUGGAGAUCACAUUGCAGAGACUGUACAAAGUGCUGCCACACUGCCUGAUUGCUGAGGAAAGCAGUCCAUGUUGGUGCAGCUGGAGAAAAGGGGACCUGUAAGCUGGGAUGUUCCAGGUAUAGAGAGUCUGAGAAGAGGGAACUGCUGGAUAGUGCCUUGGCAUGGGACAGGAGCCUUCUGAGACUCCCCAGCAUGGGAGAGCAGGAAUGGCUGGCUAUCUGUCCCAAGGGGGGCUGCUUUCUGCGGACAGCUGGGGGAUGAGCACUGCCCCCUCCCAGCACGUACAUUCAUCUGCAAAAGCCAUCCGGCUCGGCCGUCCUUCGUUUCUGGAGCAGCAAGCAGGCUGUUUAUUUUGUGAGUAAUGGCAGCAGCUGAACUUCGGACCUCCCAGGAGGGGGAGUAGAGGAGCCUUGACUGCGGCCUUGCAACCUUAACGCGCAUGGAGGGAGGCACCCCUGGUGCUGCCUGAGCAGGAUUAUCAGUGCGUGGUCCCACUAGUGCUGUCAGGCUUCCCUGGCUGCGGACAGUGUUGAUUUUGCCUGCUGGUCCGAAAGGUAGGGCAUGGCACGAAGCAUUGCAUCAUCCAUAGGCAGAGCUUUUCACAUACACCUCUCAGUUACAGAAAUAUAAGUAACAAUGGAAAUGUUGACUUUAAAGUUUUGAAUUUGUAUUUAUCUUUGGCAUCAUACAACUGACAAAAAUUGUAGCAGAAAACAGCUGUGCUUACCACAACUUUUAGCCAUGCAGCAUAUGAUCA